CACUCCUGCGGGAGGCAGCAGUGGGGAAUUUUGGACAAUGGGCGAAAGCCUGAUCCAGCAAUGCCGCGUGUGUGAAGAAGGCCUUCGGGUUGUAAAGCACUUUUGUCCGGAAAGAAAUCCUUGGCUCUAAUACAGUCGGGGGAUGACGGUACCGGAAGAAUAAGCACCGGCUAACUACGUGCCAGCAGCCGCGGUAAUACGUAGGGUGCGAGCGUUAAUCGGAAUUACUGGGCGUAAAGCGUGCGCAGGCGGUUUGCUAAGACCGAUGUGAAAUCCCCGGGCUCAACCUGGGAACUGCAUUGGUGACUGGCAGGCUAGAGUAUGGCAGAGGGGGGUAGAAUUCCACGUGUAGCAGUGAAAUGCGUAGAGAUGUGGAGGAAUACCGAUGGCGAAGGCAGCCCCCUGGGCCAAUACUGACGCUCAUGCACGAAAGCGUGGGGAGCAAACAGGAUUAGAAACCCUUGUAGUCCCAU
rnacentral:rRNA from 1 species